rfam:Bifidobacterium stellenboschense strain DSM 23968 Contig06, whole genome shotgun sequence.
UUUGUGGAGGGUUCGAUUCUGGCUCAGGAUGAACGCUGGCGGCGUGCUUAACACAUGCAAGUCGAACGGGAUCCAUCAAGCUUGCUUGGUGGUGAGAGUGGCGAACGGGUGAGUAAUGCGUGACCGACCUGCCCCGUACUCUGGAAUAGCUCCUGGAAACGGGUGGUAAUGCCGGAUGUUCCAGUUGAUCGCAUGGUCUUCUGGGAAAGGGUCUUACUGGUAUGGGAUGGGGUCGCGUCCUAUCAGCUUGACGGUGGGGUGAUGGCCUACCGUGGCUUCGACGGGGUAGCCGGCCUGAGAGGGCGACCGGC